UGAUAGAUCGGGAUUUAAUCAAAUAACUGAAGACUAUUUCUUUAGUGCAAAUGAAGGAGUACAAACAUUGGGAACUGAAAGAGUUUACCAUGAAUGUGAGUUUCUUGAGGCUUUGAGACUCGGAGGUGGUGAUUUCUCCAUGUUUUUAAUUGUGGACACCUGUUGCUUCCCAGAAUUUUGAAAUACUACAUGAGGCUAUUUGUGGAGUUAUGGCAACACAGCAUGUGUUCCGCAUGGUUGGAUUGCUCACUUCAACAUAUUUCUGAAGAAGGAAUGGUUUAAAGAAUCCAUGUACAUUGCACAGAGGAAUAUCAGCUAGAAAGGAAGAAAUACAUCCACCUGUACAACAGCACAGCUUUGAUGACCAUCUUUGGAAAGCACAGGAACCUCCUGCUGUUGGAAGAAAAAAGAAGAAAGAAAGAAAGAAAGAAAUCAACUUGCUGGAACCUCACUGAAAAAGUUUAAAACAUCAACAGAUACACAGGAUGCAGCUCAGAAUAUGUUAUCGUGUCCUGUCAGGCAGGAGAAGGAUAAGAACUCCAUAUUUUGAUUAUAUGACUAACUGGAUCAUUCUGCACUUGUCUAGUAAGAGCCUGUGCCCAUUCUUUAAAGUCUUCUGAUAUGUUUUGAGACGUUUGAGACGGAAAACAGAAGAAAGAUGGAGGAUGAAGACAGUGAUGUGGAGGUUCAUCAGGUGAAAAAGGGCUAUUCUAGAAAGUGCUUCACGUGAUCUGGAAGAAGUGAAAUCAGCUUUUCUCAAGCAGAGGAGAGGUUAGCCAUGCUUUUCCACUUCCAUAUGUGAGUUCAAACAUCUGAUCUAUUAGAUAAAGGUCUCUGCCUCUGCUCUUCUGGCAAUUACUCGAAGCUAGUCCUUAAAAUACAGUUGUACUGAGUAUGAAAGAUUCGUUCUGAAGUUUCUGAAAUCACUUUCUGGAGAUGUAGGAAGAAGGUCU